CUCCUCUCAGGGUCGCACCCGGAGAGUUUCCAGUCCUCUACCGGUCUCGGCUACGGGAGGGAGAGUCAAGCAGAGACCUGUCUUUUCCAUUCCUAGCUUGGCCAGUGGCUAACGAGUGGAAGGCCAUCUGCUACAAGU
rnacentral:snoRNA from 1 species